GAUGAAGAACGUAGCGAAAUGCGAUAAGUAAUGUGAAUUGCAGAAUUCAGUGAAUCAUCGAAUCUUUGAACGCACCUUGCGCCCUUUGGUAUUCCGAAGGGCAUGCCUGUUUGAGUGUCAUGAAACCUCACCCCCUUGGGUUUUUGCCUGAGCGGUGGUGUAUUGGGUGUUGCCUUGCUAAAGGCUCGCCUUAAAGACAUAAGCACCUUGGAUGUAAUACGUUUCAUCCUUCUGGGUGGCUGAUAACCCCACAUAUUCAUGAUCUGGCCUCAAAUCAGGUAGGGCUACCCGCUGAACUUAAGCAUAUCAAUAAGCGGAGGA
rnacentral:misc_RNA from 1 species